rnacentral:rRNA from 1 species
GACUCCUACGGGAGGCAGCAGUAGGGAAUCUUCCGCAAUGGGCGAAAGCCUGACGGAGCAAUGCCGCGUGAGUGAUGAAGGUUUUCGGAUCGUAAAGCUCUGUUGCCAGGGAAGAACGCUUGGGAGAGUAACUGCUCUCAAGGUGACGGUACCUGAGAAGAAAGCCCCGGCUAACUACGUGCCAGCAGCCGCGGUAAUACGUAGGGGGCAAGCGUUGUCCGGAAUUAUUGGGCGUAAAGCGCGCGCAGGCGGUCAUUUAAGUCUGGUGUUUAAUCCCGGGGCUCAACCCCGGAUCGCACUGGAAACUGGGUGACUUGAGUGCAGAAGAGGAGAGUGGAAUUCCACGUGUAGCGGUGAAAUGCGUAGAUAUGUGGAGGAACACCAGUGGCGAAGGCGACUCUCUGGGCUGUAACUGACGCUGAGGCGCGAAAGCGUGG